rnacentral:SRP_RNA from 1 species
UGAGAGAAGUUGGUAAAGUUUGUAGUGCUUAAUCUGUCAGGUUCGGAAGAAAGCAGCAGGGGUAUGUGCAAAUUUGUAUUAACUUCUC